rnacentral:ncRNA from 1 species
UCCAUGGUGACGUGGAAUCUGAAGGAAGUCGGACGCAAACUCUCGAACUGACGAACAGAAAUUGGAUACAAGGCUGACUUGGGACGGAUGAGCUUGCUAAACAAAGCGAAGUCCAAUACUGCCCAAAUCCCAUACAGUAAAUCCAGCAGUUACAUGAGAGGAAAGUGGUUGUG